AACGAACGCUGGCGGCAGGCUUAACACAUGCAAGUCGAACGCCCCGCAAGGGGAGUGGCAGACGGGUGAGUAACGCGUGGGAACAUACCCUUUCCUGCGGAAUAGCUCCGGGAAACUGGAAUUAAUACCGCAUACGCCCUACGGGGGAAAGAUUUAUCGGGGAAGGAUUGGCCCGCGUUGGAUUAGCUAGUUGGUGGGGUAAAGGCCUACCAAGGCGACGAUCCAUAGCUGGUCUGAGAGGAUGAUCAGCCACAUUGGGACUGAGACACGGCCCAAACUCCUACGGGAGGCAGCAGUGGGGAAUAUUGGACAAUGGGCGCAAGCCUGAUCCAGCCAUGCCGCGUGAGUGAUGAAGGCCUUAGGGUUGUAAAGCUCUUUCACCGAUGAAGAUAAUGACGGUAGUCGGAGAAGAAGCCCCGGCUAACUUCGUGCCAGCAGCCGCCGUAA
rnacentral:rRNA from 1 species